rnacentral:pre_miRNA from 1 species
CUUGUACUCCCUCCGUCCGAAAAUACUUGUCAUUGAAAUGGAUGUAUCUAGAUGUAUUUUAGUUCUAGACACAUCCAUUUUGAUGACAAGUAAUUCCGGACGGUGGGAGUACUUG